CGCCUGGGGAGUGCGGCCGCAAGGUUGAAACUCAAAGGGAUUGAUGGGGACCCGCACAAGCGGUGGAGCAUGUGGUUUAAUUCGAAGCAACGCGAAAACCUUACCAAAUCUUGACAUCCUCUGACCCCUCUAGAGAUAGAGUUUUCCCUUCGGGGACAGAGUGACAGGUGGUGCAUGGUUGUCGUCAGCUCGUGUCGUGAGAUGUUGGGUUAAGUCCCGCAACGAGCGCAACCCUUAAGCUUAGUUGCCAUCAUUAAUUGGGCACUCUAAGUUGACUGCCGGUGACAAACCGGAGGAAGGCGGGGACGACGUCAAAUCAUCAUGCCCCUUAUGAUUUGGGCUACACACGUGCUACAAUGGACAAUACAAGGGUAGCGAAACCGCGAGGUCAAGCAAUCCCAUAAGUUGUCUCAGUUCGGAUUGUAGUCUGCACUCGACUAUAUGAAGCUGGAUCGCUAGCACCGAAAUCAGAUGCUACGGUGAUACGUUCCGGUCUGGACCACGCCAUCAGGC
rnacentral:rRNA from 1 species